GUGAAAGUCGACGACGUUUCCGACCCGUCUUGAAACACGGAUUACGGAGUGUUUGUCUGCUGCGAGUCAAAGGGUGUAAAACCUUGCGGCGCAAUGAAAGUGAAGGUUAGUCUCGAACUGACCGACGUGGGAUCCGUGCUCUUCGGAGUGCGGCGCACCACGGCCCUAUGCGUGUCACUUGUGACUGUGUAGAGGUUGAGCAGUAGGCAAGCGACCCGAAAGAUGGUGAACUAUGCCUGAGCAGGAUGAAGCCAGAGGAAACUCUGGUGGAAGUCCGUAUCGGUUCUGACGUGCAAAUCGAUCGAUAGACUUGGGUAUAGGGGCGAAAGACUAAUCGAACCAUCUAGUAGCUGGUUCCUUCCGAAGUUUCCCUCAGGAUAGACUGGAACUCUUGCAGUUAUAUUCGGUAAAGCUAAUGAUUAGAGGCCUUGGGGACGUAAUGUCCUCAACCUAUUACUCAAACUUUCAAUGGAUAUGGCGUCGCAGUUUCUUUAGUGAACUGCGGCGUGAAUGCGAGUUCCAAGUGGGCCAUUUUUGGUAAGCAGAACUGGCGCUGUGGGAUGAACCAAACGUGGAGUUAAGGUGCCUAACUUCUCGCUUAUGAGACCCCAUAAAAGGUGUUGGUUGAUAUUGACAGCAGGACGGUGGCCAUGGAAGUCGGUACCCGCUAAGGAGUGUGUAACAACUCACCUGCCGAAUCAACUAGCCCUGAAAAUGGAUGGCGCUUAAGCGAGAGACCUAUACUCCGCCGUCGCGGCAUGUGCGUUGUCUAGCGCCAGGUCGCGACGAGUAGGAAGGACGUGGCGGUUGCGUUGAAGGCUAUGAGCGUAGGCUCGGCUGGAGCUUCCGUCAGUGCAGAUCGUAAUGGUAGUAGCAAAUAUUCAAGUUCGAUCCUUGAAGACUGAAGUGGAGAAGGGUUCCACGUGAACAGUAGUUGGAUGUGGGUCAGUCGAUCCUAAGGUACUGGCGAAAGCCUUGUAUCAUCGGUGGCGAAAAGCUUGCUUUUUGUCCCCGCCCGUCGAAAGGGAAUAGGGUUAAUAUUCCCUAACUGAGAUGCAAAGAUUGUGUUCUUCGGAGCACAAGCGCGGUAACGCGUUCGAACUUGGUAAGUCGCUCAGAGACCGAGCUAGAGUUUUCUUCUCUAGUUAAGGAACGGACUCCCUGGAAUUGGUUCAGCCAGAGAUGGGGACGUUGUUUUCCGAAAAGCACCGCGGUUUCUGUGGUGUCUCGUGCUCUCUGAACGGCCCUUUAAACACCAAGGGAGGCUAUUAAUUUGCACUCAAUCGUACCGAUAUCCGCAUUAGGUCUCCAAGGUGAACAGCCUCUAGUCGAUAGAAUAAUGUAGGUAAGGGAAGUCGGCAAACUAGAUCCGUAACUUCGGGAAAAGGAUUGGCUCCAGUGGUCGGAACGGUUGGCCAGUUGGUUGAUGCUUGUCCGGCGCUGUUCUGUCUGCUUGAUGCUUUCGGGCUGAUGGCGGCCUAGUGAUAGUGCUUGCUUGUUGACGCUUUCUGGUGUGUGCUUUGACCUCGGUCUUAGUAUCCUGAUCGUUCAUCUAAACGACUAAACUGGAACCGGUACGGACUCAGGGAAUCCGACUGUCUAAUUAAAACAGAGGUGACAGAUGGUCCUUGCGGACGCUGACUGUCACUGAUUUCUGCCCAGUGCUCUGAAUGUUAAAUCGUAGUAAUUCGAGUAAGCGCGGGUAAACGGCGGGAGUAACUAUGACUCUCUUAAGGUAGCCAAAUGCCUCGUCAUUUAAUUGUUGACGCGCAUGAAUGCCCUCCCUUGGACGGACAGUCUUAGUAUUUUCCUGAAUUCCCAGAGUGACUUGUGUCGGAAGUGGCUUGAGAGA
rnacentral:ncRNA from 1 species